UACGAAGGGGGCUAGCGUUGCUCGGAAUCACUGGGCGUAAAGCGCACGUAGGCGGCUUUCUAAGUCAGGGGUGAAAUCCUGGAGCUCAACUCCAGAACUGCCUUUGAUACUGGAGAGCUUGAGUCCGGGAGAGGUGAGUGGAACUCCGAGUGUAGAGGUGAAAUUCGUAGAUAUUCGGAAGAACACCAGUGGCGAAGGCGGCUCACUGGCCCGGUACUGACGCUGAUGUGCGAAAGCGUGGGGAGCAAACGGG
rnacentral:rRNA from 1 species